rnacentral:piRNA from 1 species
UGAAACGGUUUGCCAUUUCAAUCUUUGGAAG